UGCCAGGGACUGCGGGGUUGGGGCGAUCCAGCGGAGGGCGGAACAGAAACCCCUGCCCCAGGAGCCCAAGUCCCAGGGGUGCACAGGACCCACUGAGAAGGUGACCUCUGGGCAGAGGCCUCAAGCAGCUGAGGGACGGCUGGGCCAGAUGGCCACCAGGUGAAGAGCCUUCUGGGCAGGACAAUCCGGGUCAGAAUUAUGAAGUGGGAACGAGGAAAGACUAGCUGGGAGAAGUUAAGAGCGUGCCCAGGGCUACACUGUGAGAUGGGGCCCAGCUUCCUGCUGGGGCAGGAGAGGCCAGUGGGGGCUGAGUGGGGGCGGGGCAGGAUGUUGUUCCAGCACCGGCUGCUGUGAGGCAAGGUGAGGCAAGGCUGGGCAGGAAGGGCUCCCAGCCACCACUGGGUGACUGUGCAGUUUCCUUUGCCAGGCUCUGAGACAAGGGGCCUUAUGGCUCAGAGGGAAAAGGCCCCAGUCAAGGAUUUCCUGAGCUCCUGCAGGAAAUCUCCUGGGUCCUUUCCUGGGCUGGUGUGUGUUUGGCAACAGAGCUGAGCCGGCUUCAGAAUAAGAGGGGAAGGCGGCCAUGACCGGAGAAAGGACUUGGAACCCAGGCCCUGACCCCGAGAAAUCGAGAUGUUGCCCAAGGGGCCCUUUCCUGUCCUCCUUCCCCCUCCAACCCUGAGCUCCUCAGUGGGCGGCCCAGGAAGGAGAAAGCUUCAGCCGCCUGCCUGCUCGGGUGGGGUGGACCCAUCACCAGCCCCACCCAGGGAUUCAAGUUUCUCUGUUUACGACUGUUUUCCUGGAACAGCUUGUUUUGAUCCAGAGAAAUCUGCUGACGCACUGCCUGCUCUCCUCCCUCUGGGCGGAGGCCGAGUCUCUCCAAUCGACCCCUGGAAAUGUUGCCAGGACAAGACUGCGGGGGCAGAUCUCGACGAAAAGUGAGAGGCCAGAAUCUUUCCCGGACAGAGGAGCUCGGCUAAGCAGCCGUUGGGGAACAAGCCUGGGCUUGCCACAAACUCAGUCAUCAAUGCUGACGGUCACAUGAGAGUCAUGAGUUUUGCAAGAACCACAAGGAGGGACCCAUCUGCAGAUGCCAUCUCACUGAGGCUGGGGAAGAAAUCUUCCCCAGUUUCCUCCCAGUUGCCAAAGGAGCCUGUCGUCAGGCAAUGUUUUGUUUGGGGCGCGGGUGGUUACCCUGGGAGGAGGUUUUCCGGCAGAGAGUUGGUCUAAGGAGCCGUCCUCGCUUGUGGUUAACCUGACCACACAGUCCUCCUUCCACUCUAUAUACUUCAGGGAGCAAGGUCUGAACGGAGGGUACAGGGGGUCUCGAGCUGUGAUUCUCCCUCGCCCUGGCAACGAGAUACCACCCGUCCCUUGCAAAAGCCUGACCCAGCGCUCAGGCCUGGGUCCGCCGGGCCUUGGCAGAGGGGAUCGUUAAGUCCAGGGGGUUCUUUUGCCUCUGCUCUAGAAGACCCACGUCGGAGGCCUGCUCUAUGUGGGCAGCCAGCAGGCGGUGACCCCAAGCCAUCAAACAGGCUCCCUGGGCCCCAUCACAGGCUGUAAACUACCCUGGAUAAAUGCAGUUUUUUCCCCAAAGUCUCCCUUCUUCCCCGCUUCCCAAUCCAGAAGUAAAACGGGUUGAAUUACAUGUAUCCUUUUGGUUUUACAGCCACGCAGUUGUAUACUGUUUUCUGCACUGACAAGAUUUUGAUUUCAUCAUUUGGCAAUUACUGAUUUCCCCUUAAUGCAUUAUGAAAAAUCAUUCAGUAGCCUAUCCCAGGCGUGGUUUUCUUACGGAACACCUCAAACCGUCAGGCCCCUGGGGACAAAAUAACAAAAUAACAAAGAUUUUCACGCAGGAACAUCGCGGGGGCAUUAACGUUUUAAUCAACUUGCCCCCCAACCAUUCCUAACACAACAACCCCACGGCGGGGUUUCUCAACCAGAGAAGCUACAGGCGCAGCUCCGCGUGCGCUUCUGCGAGGGACGGCUGGUCGCCAACAGGCGGGCAGCCCCCGCACCCCUUAGAAAUG
rnacentral:lncRNA from 1 species